GCAGUUUGCAAGCAGUUCACAGGCCAGUUUGCUGCCCCCCACCUCAUUGAACAGGAGCCUUUAAAGACCAGGCACCCAAGGAAGAAGCAGCCCAGGGAAUGCCCUCCACAGCAGAGUGGCAGAUGGUCACAUCCAGGACUGGAGCUGCUUGCAGCGAACAGGUACCAGUUCCUCCUGUCCAACUGGAGAACAGGUCAAGAGAUCCAAGCAGACCCAGAGGAGGAGGCGACGAGUGCUCGUCAUAGCCGACUCCAUCCUGAGAGGUACGGAGGGGCCAAUCUGUUGCCAGGACCCCUCAACACGAGAGGUAUACUGCCUGCCCGGAGCAAAGAUUCGGGAUGUGAAGGAGGUAAUCCAGGCCAGGAUCAAGCCCACCGACAACUACCCCAUGGUCCUAGUCCAUGUGGGUACUAAUGAUGCAGCCAGGAGAACCCCCGAUCACCUGAUGGCGGACUACACUGCUCUGGGCAGCGUGCUGAGGGAGUUUGGUGCACAGGUGGUAUUAUCCUCCAUCCUACCAGUGAACGGACGCGGAAGACGGCAUGAGAACUGCAUCCGAGAGACCAACUGGUGGCUUCGGCAGUGGUGUCUCGAGGCAGACUUCGGCUUCCUGGACAACGACCAGCACAUCACGAUGAGGGACAUGCUCAGUUGGGAUGGGCUUCACCUGUCCCCCAAAGGUAAGUGUGUGUUUUCUUCUAGGUUGGCGGAUCUCCUCCGGCGGGCUUUAAACUAGGCUUGCCGGGGGCAGGCGAAGAUGAGGGCGGGGGAAGCUGUGGACCACCAAACCAUGUGGCACCCACAAGGACAGCCCAGCCUGAAGAAAGAGAACAUUGGGAACCUGCAAGAUGUGGCGCAGCCAACACUACGGCACAGGAGAAACAUUUCAUCAUCAAUCCUCCUACGCAAAAUGAGACGUUAGCAAGAAAGAAGCAAAAUUCAACAUCCUGCUUGCCAUCGGACACCUCUGAGCAGGACUUAGUAAUUCCACUGGUGCACCGGAAGCGCAGAACAUCUCCAAAAGUCAAAAUAUCAUACAAUGAGAUCCCACAGCUAUGAAGAAAGAGUCAUGUUUAGCAGGCUUAACUGCUUUGAAAAGUUUGAUGCAAUCUUAAAAAGGCUUUCACCCAGCAAGGACACUCGUCCAGAGAGAUAGAUCGCACGUUUGAAAGAGCCACCCGGAUACCACAUGAAGAACUGCUGCAGUACAGAAGAACCCCCCCCACAAAUCACACACCGCUGGUUAUGACAUAUCACCCCUCCCUUGAACCUGUACAGAAAAUCCUCAAAAAAUUGCAACCCAUACUAGAAAGAGACCCUAUUCUUAAAAAGAUCUUCCCAGAGCCACCCAUCCUAGCCUUCAAACAAGCACCGAACCUCGCCAACCUCAUCACCAGAAGCAAACUUCCUCAUGCCCAGAACACACCAAAAGGAUCCAGACCGUGCCAUGACAAGAAAUGCAAAACCUGCCAACACAACUCCACCACCCCCACUAUUACUACACCCCACAACAGAGCCAUCCCAGGAUCUUACAGCUGCACCUCCAGAAAUGUAAUAUACCUCAUCCAAUGCACCAAAUGCCUGAUGGAAAAUACGUAGGAGAGACCAGACAACAACUGCGCACCAGAAUAAAUGCACACCAGAAAUCUAUCAAAGACAGAAAUACCUAAUUACCGGUGGGGGCACAUUUCUCACAGGAGGGCCACUCUCUCUCCAAUCUCUCAGUCUUGAUCCCCAAGGGAAACUUACACAACACUUCCCAAAGACAAGCCUAUGAGCUCCAUUUCAUCAACCUCCUGGAUACUAGAGAUCAUGGACUAAACAUAGACACUGGAUUUUUGAUACGUUACAAUCUGCCUGGCAACUGACUCCCCAGCCCAGCCCCUGGCUUCUUCACUUUUCAUUCCAUCCAGGAAGAGCACACACCAACUGCUGAAACUUCCUUAGCCUGACGAAGGGUUUUUGAACUCGAAAACUUGCUUAAUAACUAUUCUCCAACUAUUUGGGUUGGUCUAAUAAAAGAUAUCAAAUUCACCCAAGGAACCUUGUCUGCCUAUGUCCUUAGACCAACACGGCUACAACCUACGCCCAUGCAAUCUGUAAGGAAUUUUUGCAAUGUUUUGUUUGCUAGAUUGUCACUCAUUCCACACUUCCCUUUUCUUCUCUCCCUUUUCCUUCCCCUACUUUUUUAAAAACUUUUUUUUUGUAGGCAGAUACUUACACAGUCUAUGAUUGGGUUACAUGUUAGCAAUACUAAUAUUCUUCAGAAAUCUAUAAUGCAGUAAUAUUCUCAAAAUUACCUUGUCACCUUUUGUCCAUGUUAUUAUUAAUUUUAGCUGAUAUUGAUUUUUGUGGAAAUGUUGAUGAUUUACUGACAUUAGUAAAUCAUCUCUUUGGUCUCCCUAAAAUCAAUGGGAAUCGUUCCACUGAAUUUAGUGGGAUUUGGAUCAAGACCUGA